UAGUACAACCACGAGUCGCUCUUCCAUUGUGCGGAACAGAGGGACAGGCAUAUUUACGAUAACAGAGGAUCUGGACCUUUCCGAAGGCUCUUUUUCUUUCUCCUCCUCUCAGAAAGAAAAAAUUCCUUAAACUAACUCGAAAUCAAUAACCUAAUCUCAUAUCUGCAAAUUCAUUUUACAGAAAAUCAAAUCUAUCUUCAAAUAAUCUGAUUUCGCGAACCCUAGAAAUUAGAUUUUGAGAAAGGAAGAUUCAAGUAGAAACCCUAGAAAGUUGCUGAGUAGAAGAAUCAGUUAGAUCUGGAUCGUACAAAUGGUGAAUCGGUGUGUUCAGUUGGAUUUGUACCUUAAAAGAUGCACAAGGUAAACGAAGUCUACUAUACCGAAUAAGCAUCAAGCUUCAAUCAACUGUAAUUGUUUUAAAGACUAAAGGAGCUGUAGUAGUAGCUGUUGUGAAACCAUAUCACUUCUCCGUUGCUGAUUCCUUCUUUGUUCUGUGGAUUACUUACAAAUUUGACUUGCUCAUUUUUGUCAAUUACCGGAUAUGAUUUGGAAAUGAAAUAGAGAUUCAUCUGUGCUUUUGGGAAGUUGAAUCAGGAUUAGUGCUUGCUGUUAUAAUUUGCGUUUUGUUAUCAAAUGGCAGUCUUUCAUAGUUAAAGGAAUCUGGCUGCUUGGUUGCCAAGGGUUUCUUUCGGUCUCCCCAGAAUUUGGAUUCCUGUAUCACACUUCCGGAACUUUUCUUUUUUCAUCAGAUGGCAAAAGAGCUGAAUGUGAUAUUGGACUAAGGCGAGGCGCAGCCAGCUGUUAGCUGUACUGGUGAUAGUGGUUCUGUGUCUUACCUUGAACAAGUCGUUUCUCCCAUUUAUGAGACAAUGGUUAAGACAACUAAAAGUAGUUUUGUGGAGCACCAGCCAUUUGAAGUUUUCACCGACUUAUUUUUGGUCUUAGCGUUUCAGGUUUAUUACAUAGAUAGUUGAUCUGAAGUUCCAUAUUUGCUAUUCAAUGGUUUGGUAAUAGAUGCGUGCUUGUUUCCACACCUACAGAGUCUGAUAAUUAUAGCUUUCAAUAUUGGAAGAGUGGACCCGAUACUUUUAAGGAAGUACUCGGUAUUGGACCAGCAUUUGCUGUCAUGUGCUUCAUAGAGAGCUCAGAUGUCAGCUGAUAGUGGUUAUCCUGCAUAUUUGGCAGCACGUGUAGCUCCUUUUACAAGCAUGCUGGUAAAGUGAAAUGCCUCGCUGAAACUUCAAUAAAAAAGGUAAGCUGACUUGAGUGACUUGAAUUCUAGCUUGUUGAACAGUUAAAUAUUGGUAAAUAUUUCCAAUUGUCUUCUUAGUAGGAACGUAAAACUGGUGAACUUGUAAACCGGCAUGGAAAAAUUGUGAAAGGGGAAUUCCCCCUGUAACUCCGCAGCCGACAGGAUUGUGAAGGGGAAAUCAUCCCCGUAGCCCUGCAACUAGGGCCGUUAAUGGGACCGGAUCCUCCCGGGUAUCACCUGACCGGACCGGACUCUGACCUAUUUAUAAAAGUCGGGUUCGGUUCCUAAAUCCAUGGUCCCAUAACCGGGCCCGUUAAAAUUUUCGGAUACCCAUCGGUUCUGGGUAUCAUUGGGUCUCAAGAGAACUAUAAAAAGAAAGUUCAAAAAUUUACUAUUGUUUUUAAUUAAUGUAAUGAGUGAAGAUUAAAUGUUGGAAAAGAACAAAAAAAAGUGAAAAAAAUCUAAGCCGAAAAUAACAAAAUAGCUUUGUUUUGCUCAAAAGGUAAAUAAAAGUUAGACCCAUUACCCGAUGGGUGUUACCUGUUAAGAUUGGGGUCCAAUCGGGUAAUUACCCGUUGGUUGCUAAGUUGUUAACGACUCCAACUUUAGGACCCAGAACUAGACCCGUUUCUAUUCUUGGAUGGAUUGUGUUUAUGCAGGCAAGCCGGUCUAAAAAUUUGUCAUACAAUUAUGGAGAGGCGUGAUUCUUCACGAGAUAGUCUCUAGCCCUAUUAGGGACUUGCUCCCGGACAAAAAGGCUUUCGGUUUUUGGAUUAGCAUCUUGUAUCCAUCCAAAAAUUUCAACAUCAUCCUAUUUUACUUUUGCAUCUUUUGUUAACUUAGGCAUACAAAGGUUCUUCCGGCUUCAAUCUGCUGCUUUGGUAUGUUUCCAUUUUCUUUUUUUUGGCACUGUAAGAAUGCAUCAUGUUCUUAUUAAGCUCUUGGUUUGCUUUUUGAAGGUAGCUUUUUGAAGGUAAGCAUAAAGGAGGAAUGCACUAUUUGGAGGUAAAACGACUUCUGCUCUUCAGUUAUAGCCAAAAUAUCCUUCUAUUUCCUCCCCAAUACUCAUUUUGUUCCGCAAAUUUGCAUUGUUUUUUAUUGGUUGAACGUUCUUUUCCUUAAUCCUUGUUUAUAUAAGGUUAGGUUGUUUGGGUUGUCUAAACACGUUGCUAAUGGGGUGUACCAGUUUAUUGGGGAGGGUUUCAAUUUACAUAUAGAAUAAACUUGACAUGGCUUUGUCGGAUAUGAAAUCAAAAUUCGUCCCUCCCUAGUAUACCCAUACUCCCUAUUAGUAGUCUUGGUGUCUUUCGGGGUACUACUAGACCAGGGUACUACUUACAAAGGUCGGGUCAGGUUCCUAUUCGGUUCCUGAAUUUAUGGACUCGAAACCGGACUCGUUUAGAGUUUCGGGUACCGGGGUAUUAAGAAAAUAUAAAAAUCUUAAAAAUGUAAUUUAUUACUACAUAAAGAUUAAAUGUAAGAAAAAACUGAAAUAAAAAAAAUCAAAAAUGAAAGAUUAAGAAUUUUUUAUUAUUUAAGCAAGAGUAGUUUUAUUAAAAAAUGAAAAAUGAGAAAAAAUCAAGGUCAAAACUUACGAAAUGCUUAUAAUUUUGUUAGGAAAAUGCAUAAAUGGAUGAACCGGAUCGUAAGUUGUUAAUGGGUCCGGGUGAUCGAUAACAUAUAACCAAAAAUCCAUAUUAAUACUGGAACCCCCUUCACUUUUUUCUUAUUUUCACUACUUUUCUAGAAGUAAAAAAUCUUGAUUUGGGAUCUGGAAAAAGAAAGAUGGUCCUGAAGAUCUCAUCAAAAAUCAGGUCGGGAAAAUCGUUGACAUCAAGAUUUAUUCAAAACUACAAGGGUGGUGGUAGAAAUGGAAUUGAGAAACUCAUAUUUCUAAUUAUCAGGUAUAUUGGUUGGACAUUUUGAUGUUCCUUUGAUUUAUUUUGAUGUUUUACUUGUAAUACCCUUGUAAUAGAACUCUCUAAUCAAAAUCCAUUGCACAAAUAAGCUUAACCUUAAGAAAAACCCAACUAUAUAUGAUGAAAAUGCAUCAGAGAGAAUCCAAGACAUCUCAACAUUUUGUCAUCCUAAAAUAGGAUUUCUGGUGUCCCUCUAUGUCUUUCAUCAUAAUCUUACUCAAAACAUGAUCUAUUACAAGGGUAUCACAAGUAAAACAUCAAAAUAAAUCAAAGAAACAUCAAAAUGUCCAACCAAUAUACCUGAUAAUUAGAAAUAUGAGUUUCCUCAACUCCAUUUCUACCACCACCCUUGUAGUUUUGGAUAAAUCUUGAUGUCAAUUAUUUCCCCGACCUGAUUGUUGAUGAGAUCUUCAGGACCAUCUUUAUUUUUUCAGAUCCAAAAUCAAGAUUUUUUGUUUCUGGGGAAGUAGUGAAAAUAAGAAAAAAGUGAAGGGAUUCCAGUAUUAAUAUGGAUUUUUGGUUAAGGGUUGUCGAUCAUCCGGACCCAUUAACAACUUACGACCUGGUUCAUGCAUUUAUACAUCUUCCUAACAAAAUUAUAAGCAUUUCGUAAGUUUUGACCUUGAUUUUUUUUUUUUCGUUUUUCACUUUUUAAUAAAACUAUUCUUACUUAAAUAAUAAAGCAACCUGGACCGAGUCCACAUUCAUGAAACAGUUAGGUGGCUUCGUUCUGUUGGGUACUGCAUGUGGAUUUGGCCUUACCGGGGGUGGAGUACGUUCGUAUAUAUUUCGAAGGUGAAGUCUUAUUAAAAGUUAUCCUAGAUGAAUUAAAGGUUUUAAAGACUGUUGGAGAGUGAAAUCAAAAAUAUUAAAGACAACUUGAAAAUUAUUCAAAAUCAAUUAAAGGGUAUUGUCAAUAAUUAUAAGAAUUCUGAGACUGAAAUGAAAGGAGAGAUACAAAAGAUUAAAGGUAGUUUGGCUAGGAUGAAAAAUUACAUGAACCCUGGCAAGCUAACUCCUACAACUACAAAUGAGAGUGAACUGAAGACGAAUCUUUACAUUUUCAAAAACAGUUUACCAAAUAAUUUUUAGAAAAUGAAAACAAGGAAAAAAUGAUAUGUUUUUAAAACAGUGGAAAACUAUUUUAAAAAGACUGUUUUUGAAAACUGUACCAAACAUGCUCUAAUCUUUUCUAAUGCAUUUUUAUGUUUUAACCACCAUUGGAUCCAAGAAUGAAUUACAAAGAGUAUUGCUCAAUCAGUUGUCAACAAAAAAGGUGCGAGGGAGACGGUGGUAUCAUCUGGGCCAAACAUAGUGAAAAUCAACACGCAAGCUCAUCGCCUUACAAAGCCAAAGGAUUGGAAGCAAAAGAAAAAGAACUAAGGUCAGCCAGGUUUAGGAAGGUGAGAAAGUUAGAAAUGCAUGUCCUUAUAAGCUGACAGACCCAAACAAUCUCAGAUGCAGCAAUGCAGAAGCCCUCAGGUUCAGUGGAAGACCUUGUGACAAUAGCUUGUAUUCUUGGCAGACUAAGAAAUAUGAUUUGAACCAAAGAAUAUGCAUCUACCAGUAGACCUGCUGUCAGUCCAAUCUGCAUCAGAAAACCCAUGAAACGGAGAGCCACCCCCCCUGGUAAAACAAAUCCGGUUAUCAAGAGUACCUUUGAUGUAACUCAAAAUCCUCUUAGCUAAGUCAUUGUACCCUAUUCUGUUUUGAUAUGUUUUCAUUUAUUUCUACUGAACUCAUACAGUGCUUUGUAACCUGUUGUUAUGCUGCUCUGGUUGGUGAUGCCCAGUUCAGAAAUAGCAAAGGAUUGGUUGUACGUACUGAUACAGUCAUGUCGAUGUUGUACCUAAAUCAGAACUUACAUGAUGAAUGUUUCCAGUUUUGGUAUGAACUGAUAGUUGUAUAUAUGUGUUAUCUAGCUUGUAGAAAAUGCUAAUGCCAGAG